rnacentral:lncRNA from 1 species
GGACCCGGCUCCGCCCUACCCCACGGGGCCGCCUGGAGAGGUGCUGGGAGCUGGGUGGAGCUUAGAGGAAUUAAACUUUGGCCCUGCGCCUCGUCCAGCCUAGGUUCCACCCUUUUCUGGGAACGUGAGUAUCAACCAAGUUUACACCCCGCCACUCCUGAGCACCGCACACCGGCUUCCUCCCAGUCCCUCAUCUGAGAACUCAUGAAGCCACUUGGAAUCCCUCUCUGCUUUGCCUGGCUCAUUCCAUGUCAAUUUCAGAUCUUCACUUCAGGUCAGCUCCAAGGAGGCUAUCCUUGCCCAUCUUCCUAAAAUAGAGCUCUCAAAACCUGGCUGUUUUCCUUCAGAGCACUGGCCUCCAAUUUAAAUCCCAAGUAAGGUACCUGCCGUCGGCAGAUUUGAGCUUUCUUCUUGGACACCUAAUACCCAGAGUCCUCCAGGCUCCGGUAGAUUGCAAAUGACCUGCUUUCUUUCUGUUCCCGGGCGGCAUCGGACCCGUCGGAGAGUAAAUCCCAAGUAAGGUACCUGCCGUUGGCAGAUUUGAGCUUUCUUCUUGGACACCUAAUACCCACAGUCCUCCAGGCUCCGGUAGAUUGCAAAUGACCUGCUUUCUUUCUGUUCCCGGGUGGCAUCGACCCGUCGGAGAGUAAAUCCCAAGUAAGGUACCUGCCGUUGGCAGAUUUGAGCUUUCUUCUUGGACACCUAAUACCCACAGUCCUCCAGGUGAGUCCUAAGGAUCUUAGGAUACGCGAUGGGGGUCCUAAGGCAGGGGGGGAAGAGGGGAUGGCUGUCACCCAACCCAAAAUGGGCGGCCUUUAUGUUCAGGUUUUGCCCAAGAGUCAGCUUAUUUGCUUCUUGUACUAUCAGGGCAGUUGAUGCCACGGCCCUCAAACAUGAGGGGCCAUCCUUUAGAAACCCUCUCUAGUUGUUUAGACAACUAGGCCACCGGCCUCAGCCAGGGCCCCAGAGUUUCGGUUAAAAGUCCAGCUGCCAUCUUUUCUCUAUCUGACGCAUUCAAUGGAAAAGGCUUUGUCAGAUCGGGUAGCCCCAGGGCUGGGGCUGCCAGAAGUUUUUCCUUUAACUCCUGAAAGACUUUUUGUUCUUGGGAUCCCCAUUCCAAAGGUUCCGUUCCCCGCCCCCUUUGUGACCUCAUACAAAGGCUUGGCUAAUACUGCAAAGUUUGGGAUCCAGUCUACAAAACCCCACAGCUCCCAAGAAUUCCCUUACCUGCCUUCUGCCCUUAGGCUCCGGUAGAUUGUAAAUAACCUGCUUUCUUUCUGUUCCCGGGCUGCGUUCGGACCCCUGUCGGAUAGUAAAUCCCAAGCAAGGUACCUGCCGUCAGCAGAUUUGAGCUUUCUUCUUGGACACCUAAUACCCACAGUCCUCCAGGCUCCGGUAGAUUGCAAAUGACCUGCUUUCUUUCUGUUCCCGGGCUGCGUUCGGACCCCUGUCGGAUAGUAACUCCCAAGUAAGGUACCUGCCGUCGGCAGAUUGGAGCUUUCUUCUUGGAGACCUAAUACCCACAGUCCUCCAGGCUCCGGUAGAUUGCAAAUGACCUGCUUUCUUUCUGUUCCCGGGCUGCGUUCGGACCCCUGUCGGAGAGUAAAUCCGAAAAAAACAAACAAAGACAUGGAUUUACUGUGCAUAUUAGCAGAUCCAUACUGGAAAAUGCAUGGAGGUUUCAUAUACACCACUUACAGGUUUCCAAAGCCACAAUUUCCUUCAUAUGUUCAAACUCUUCAGGAUGCAGAAAGGCAGUGAACUCCUCCGGAGUAGCUGUCAGGUCACCAUUGAGGUCUGCAGCUUUGAAUCUUCUCUCAUCACGUGGCAGCAUCUUUUUAAAGGUGUGAUGAUCUGAAGAAUCAUGAAACUCUGCGGGGUUUCCUAGGUUUUCAGCUCCUCAGUAGUGACAAAGCCAUACCCAUCAUUGUCGAUUCGAUCAACAAUCUUCCCUAGCCUCUCCUUGCUCUCGUCCGGGGUGAGCUCGUCGAAGUUCUUGGAGUCCUCCUUGCCCAGGAAGGCCUCGUGGUCGUACUGGAAGCUCUGGUUGUCCUCAGGGGGCCGCUCGCCCAGCUCCGAGUCGGGCCGCACCACGCGCUCUUUGCGCACCGUGGGCUUGGCCCGCAGAACCCGCGGCGCCAGCACCAGCGCCAGCAGCAGCCCCAGGGCUAACCCCAGGCGGCCACCGCGCGCCAUCGUCCCGAGGAGAGGGCGGCCGGGAGGGAGACGCUGAGCGAGCGACAACAGCGGCAGCUCGGGAAUGGGGGCUCGGAGCGCGGCGGCCAAGUUUUAUGUUAUGUAUAUUUUACAAGUAAAAAAAUUUUUUCACCUCAGCCUGAACUGAACACUAGCUGACAGACGUUUUGAUUUCUUUGACCAUCACGGAAUCGUGGCCAAGCGCGGUGGCUCACAUCUGUAAUCCCAACACUUUGGGAGGUCAAGAUGGGCGGAUUGCUUGAAUCCAGGUGUUUGAGAUCAGCCUGGGCAACAUGACAAAACCCUGUUUCUAGUAAAAAUACAAAAAUUAACCAGGCUCAAGCCAUGACCAUGCACCAUUGCACUCCAGCCUAGGCGACAGAGCAGG